CCCCUAGAUGUUCUGGGCCGCACGCGCGCUACACUGAACAGUUCAACAAGUCUUAACCUUGGCCGAUAGGUCUGGGUAAUCUUUGAACGCUGUUCGUGAUUGGGAUAGACCUUUGCAAUUAUGGGUCUUCAACGAGGAAUUCCUAGUAAACGCAAGUCAUCAGCUUGCAUUGAUUACGUCCCUGCCCUUUGUACACACCGCCCGUCGCACCUACUGAUUGAAUGGUCCGGUGAAAUCUCGGGACGGCGGCUUGGUCGCUUGCGUCCGACUGCUGAAACUUGAUUAAACCAUAUCAUUUAGAGGAAGGUGAAGUCGUAACA
rnacentral:rRNA from 1 species